rnacentral:lncRNA from 1 species
UCUUCAACUUCAAAAUACACAAGGGACAGUCGAUCCGUGAUUACUGUCUGACUAUGAUCAAGGAUUUAGAGGAGCUUGAGAAGCUCGACUUACCUAUGUAGAAAGAAUUGCUGGUGGAUCUGAUCCUGCAAUCUCUUAUUAGUUCAUAUGGUCAAUUUAUAAUAAAUAAUUAUAUAAAUAAGUUGGACUACACCUUAAUCGAACUUAUCAACAUAUUGGAUACUAUAGAGGCGAUCUUGAAGUGUUCAAGGGGCUCCAUUCUCGCUGUGGAGCAGGCACCUUCCUUCAAAAGAAAGUCUCCUUAGAAGAAGAAAAAUAAGCAUAUGAAGAAGUAGAAAAAGGAGGAAAAACUAGAAGGACACUUCGAAGAAGGCUGCAAAUAAAGAAAAAUAUUUUCACUAUCAUACUAACGGCC